rnacentral:miRNA from 1 species
UCACUAGGAUAUCUCGUUAAAAUGCAGUUUCAGAUUCAAUAGGUCUGAGAUUCUGCAUUUCUAACAAGUGCCCAGGUGAUGCCAA